rnacentral:rRNA from 1 species
ACAGUGAUGUGGAGCAAAACUCAAAAAAAUAAGUCUCAGUUCGGAUUGAAGGCUGAAAUUCGCCUUCAUGAAGCCGGAAUUGCUAGUAAUGGCAGGUCAGCAUACUGCCGUGAAUACGUUCCCGGGCCUUGUGCACACCGCCCGUCACACCAUGAGAGUUGGGAAUACCCGAAGCCUGUGAGCUAACUUUUAGAGGCAGCAGUCGAAGGUAGAAUCAAUGAUUGGGGUGAAGUCGUAACAAGGUACC